rnacentral:rRNA from 1 species
AGCGAACGCUGGCGGCAGGCCUAACACAUGCAAGUCGAGCGGAUGAGUGGAGCUUGCUCCAUGAUUCAGCGGCGGACGGGUGAGUAAUGCCUAGGAAUCUGCCUGGUAGUGGGGGACAACGUUUCGAAAGGAACGCUAAUACCGCAUACGUCCUACGGGAGAAAGUGGGGGAUCUUCGGACCUCACGCUAUCAGAUGAGCCUAGGUCGGAUUAGCUUGUUGGUGAGGUAAAGGCUCACCGAGGCGACGAUCCGUAACUGGUCUGAGAGGAUGAUCAGUCACACUGGAACUGAGAAAAGGUCCAGACUCCUACGGGGGGCAGCAGUGGGGAAUAUUGGACAAUGGGCGAAAGCCUGAUCCAGCCAUGCUGCGUGUGUGAAGAAGGUCUUCGGAUUGUAAAGCACUUUAAGUUGGGAGGAAGGGCAGUAAGUUAAUACCUUGCUGUUUUGACGUUACCAACAGAAUAAGCACCGGCUAACUUCGUGCCAGCCGCCGCCGUAAUAC